GGGCAGUGAUGAUUUUGUCUUGCGCUUAAGUGGGACUUUGGGGUCUCCACGAACGUCUGAUAUAUGGACGAAAAAAAUGCGCAAUCUGAGUCC
rnacentral:snoRNA from 1 species